rnacentral:lncRNA from 1 species
CUGGGUAGUGGUUCCGUGGCAUUUUGUUUGUGUGGUUUGGGACAGGACGUUAAAUUAUGGAAAAUUUGAGAGUCAUUGCCUCUGUAUUUUCAUCAGAUAGCACAGGGUGUGACAAGUUCAGACUCCAGUCUCCCUCUCUCUGAAAAAAAACAAACUUUCUUGGAAUUUUCUUCUCAAGUUACAGAGAACAACUUCAAGAGCAUUGAGUCAUAUAUUCAGAAAAGACUAAGUGACUCAACUUGGCCAGUGACAGUGGAUCGAUGAUACGUCAAAUAAGUCCUCUAGAAGCCUCUGGCAAAAGGUUUCAGAAGGUUAUCAUUGUGUGUGAAGGAGGGGCCUAGAUUUCCCUCAGAAGAAGCCAAAAAUAGAGGGUUGGGGCCAAGAGGAUCACAGGGAAUGGUAUUCCUGGGCCAACCCUACCUCUGGCCCUCCUUUCAAAUGAACCAAUAAAGUCUCUGUAAAACAA